rnacentral:rRNA from 1 species
GACGAACGCUGGCGGCGUGCUUAACACAUGCAAGUCGAACGGUAAGGCUCCAGCUUGCUGGGGUACACGAGUGGCGAACGGGUGAGUAACACGUGGGUGACCUGCCCUGCACUUCGGGAUAAGCCUGGGAAACUGGGUCUAAUACCGGAUAGGACCAUGGUGUGGAUACUGUGGUGGAAAGUUUUUUCGGUGUGGGAUGGGCCCGCGGCCUAUCAGCUUGUUGGUGGGGUAAUGGCCUACCAAGGCGGCGACGGGUAGCCGGCCUGAGAGGGUGGACGGCCAAAUUGGGACUGAGACACGGCCCAGACUCCUACGGGAGGCAGCAGUGGGGAAUAUUGCACAAUGGGCGGAAGCCUGAUGCAGCGACGCCGCGUGGGGGAUGACGGCCUUCGGGUUGUAAACUCCUUUCACCAUCGACGAAGGGUUUCUGACGGUAGAUGGAGAAGAAGCACCGGCUAACUACGUG